AUGCUCGCUUCGGCAGCACAUAUACUAAAACUGGAACAAUACAGAGAAGAUUAGCAUGUCCCCUGCACAAAGAUGACACAAAAAUCAAUUGAUCUCCAACUGU